rnacentral:rRNA from 1 species
GAGACAGCAGCCGCCGCGGGAAUACGUAGGUGGCAAGCGUUGUCCGGAAUUAUUGGGCGUAAAGCGCGCGCAGGCGGAUCAGUUAGUCUGUCUUAAAAGUUCGGGGCUUAACCCCGUGAGGGGAUGGAAACUGCUGAUCUAGAGUAUCGGAGAGGAAAGUGGAAUUCCUAGUGUAGCGGUGAAAUGCGUAGAUAUUAGGAAGAACACCAGUGGCGAAGGCGACUUUCUGGACGAAAACUGACGCUGAGGCGCGAAAGCCAGGGGAGCGAACGGGAUUAGAUACCCCCGUAGUCCCUGUCUCUUAUACA